CCCAGUUACUAUGGAAAUUGCAAGUGAUCUGGUGGAUAGGCAAGGGCCCAUAUACAGAGAAGAUACUGCUGUUUUUGUUAGUCAGUCUGGUGAAACUGCUGAUACUCUACUUGCUUUCGAAUAUGCUUUAGAAAAUGGGGCUUUGUGUGUUGGCAUAACAAAUACUGUUGGUAGUGCCAUAGCCAGGCAUACACACUGUGGUGUUCAUAUAAAUGCUGGGGCUGAAAUUGGUGUGGCGAGUACCAAGGCCUACACGAGUCAAAUAGUAGUUAUGGCCAUGUUAGCUCUAGCAAUUGGAGGCGAUGCUAUUUCUAGUCAAGCAAGGAGAGAAGCUAUAAUAGAUGGUCUAUUUGACUUGCCAAACAGAGUCAGAGAGGUUCUGAAGCUUGACCACGAGAUGAAGGAUCUUGCAAAGCUAUUAAUGGCUGAGCAAUCACUUCUUGUGUUUGGGAGAGGAUACAACUAUGCAACAGCUUUGGAGGGGGCUCUGAAAGUGAAGGAAGUGGCACUUAUGCACAGUGAAGGAAUGCU
rnacentral:misc_RNA from 1 species